rnacentral:rRNA from 1 species
AGCGGCAAAAGCUCAAAUUUGAAAUCUGGUACCUUUCGGUGCUCGAGUUGUAAUUUGGAGAGGCAACUUCGGAGAGGGCGUUGGCCUAAGUUCCUUGGAACAGGACGUCACAGAGGGUGAGAAUCCCGUGCUUGACCGACUGUCCCUCUUCAUGUGAAGUGUCUUCGACGAGUCGAGUUGUUUGGGAAUGCAGCUCAAAAUGGGUGGUAAACUCCAUCUAAGGCUAAAUAUUGGCGAGAGACCGAUAGCGCACAAGUAGAGUGAUCGAAAGAUGAAAAGCACUUUGAAAAGAGAGUUAAAAAGUACGUGAAAUUGUUGAAAGGGAAGCGCUUGAGACCAGACUCGGUGAUUGGUGAUCAGCGGUUGCUUCUGCUCCGUGCACUUGCCUUUUACCGGGCCAGCAUCANUUACGGCGGUGGGAUAAAGGUCUAGGGAAUGUGGCUCCCUUCGGGGAGUGUUAUAGCCCUGGACGUAAUGCCACCUGUUGUGACUGAGGACCGCGCUUCGGCUAGGAUGCUGGCAUAAUGGUCUUCAGCGACCCGUCU